rnacentral:rRNA from 1 species
GACGAACGCUGGCGGCGUGCCUAAUACAUGCAAGUCGAACGCAGUGGGGACGGGUGAGUAACACGUUGGUAACCUCCCCUCAGAGGGGAUAACACUUGGAAACAGGUGCUAAACCGAUACUGAUGGAUGGACCCGCGGUGCCUUAGCGAGUUGGUGAGGUAACGGCGCACAAGGGCCACGAUGCAUAGCCGACUUGAGAGGGUGAUCGGCCACACUGGGACGGAGACACGGCCCAGACUCCUACGGGAGGCAGCAGUGGGGAAUUUUGGACAAUGGGCGAAAGCCUGAUGCAGCCAUGCCGCGUGUGUGAAGAAGGCCUUAGGGUUGUAAAGUACUUUCGGCGGGGAGGCGUUACCCGCAGAAGAAGCACCGGCUAACUACGUGCCAGCAGCCGCGGUAAUUC